rnacentral:rRNA from 1 species
AGCGGAGGAAAAGAAACCAACAGGGAUUGCCUUAGUAGCGGCGAGUGAAGCGGCAAUAGCUCAAAUUUGAAAUCUGGCACCUUCGGUGUCCGAGUUGUAAUUUGAAGAAGGUAUCUUUGGUUUUGGCUCUUGUCUAUGUUCCUUGGAACAGGACGUCACAGAGGGUGAGAAUCCCGUGCGAUGAGAUGCCCAAUUCCAUGUAAAGUUCCUUCGACGAGUCGAGUUGUUUGGGAAUGCAGCUCUAAGUGGGUGGUAAAUUCCAUCUAAAGCUAAAUAUUGGCGAGAGACCGAUAGCGAACAAGUACUGUGAAGGAAAGAUGAAAAGAACUUUGAAAAGAGAGUGAAAAAGUACGUGAAAUUGUUGAAAGGGAAGGGCUUGAGAUUAGACUUGGAAUUUUCCAUUUAUGGAGCUUUCCGGGCCAGCAUCAGUUUGGAUGGCAGGAUAAUUGCGUUGGAAAGUAGCACCACUUCGGUGGUGUGUUAUAGACUUCGUCGAUACUGCCUAUCUAGACUGAGGACCGCGUCUUUGACUAGGAUGCUGGCGUAA